rnacentral:rRNA from 1 species
UGGGGAAUUUUGGACAAUGGGCGAAAGCCUGAUCCAGCAAUGCCGCGUGUGUGAAGAAGGCCUUCGGGUUGUAAAGCACUUUUGUCCGGAAAGAAAUCCUUGGCUCUAAUACAGUCGGGGGAUGACGGUACCGGAAGAAUAAGCACCGGCUAACUACGUGCCAGCAGCCGCGGUAAUACGUAGGGUGCAAGCGUUAAUCGGAAUUACUGGGCGUAAAGCGUGCGCAGGCGGUUUGCUAAGACCGAUGUGAAAUCCCCGGGCUCAACCUGGGAACUGCAUUGGUGACUGGCAGGCUAGAGUAUGGCAGAGGGGGGUAGAAUUCCACGUGUAGCAGUGAAAUGCGUAGAGAUGUGGAGGAAUACCGAUGGCGAAGGCAGCCCCCUGGGCCAAUACUGACGCUCAUGCACGAAAGCGUGGGGAGCAAACAGGAUUUAGAUACCCUGGUAGUCCACGCCCUAAACGAUGUCAACUAGUUGUUGGGGAUUCAUUUCCUUAGUAACGUAGCUAACGCGUGAAGUUGACCGCCUGGGGAGUACGGUCGCAAGAUUAAAACUUAAAGGAAUUGACGGGGUCAUAGCUGUUUCCU